GACGAAGGGUGCGGGUGUUAUUCGUUUUGAUUGGGUGUAAAGGGUACGUAGGCGGUUUCAGUGACCAAACUACAGUCUGGCUAAAACGGCGGAGAGUUCCUACGCCGAAGCCGAUCGAGUUAAGCUGAUCCUCGAGUUGAAGAGAAGUCGGAGCAAACUUGUGUGUUAGGUGUAAAAAACCUCAGAAACACGACUGAACGCUAACUAGCGAAGGCAUCCCUCUAGUUUUUUCAACUGACGCUAAAGUACGGAAGUCUAGGGAGCAAACGGG
rnacentral:rRNA from 1 species